rnacentral:rRNA from 1 species
CUUACCAGGGAACUACGAGCCCCAGCUUAAAACCCAAAGGACUUGGCGGUGCUUUAGACCCCCCUAGAGGAGCCUGUUCUAGAACCGAUAACCCCCGUUCAACCUCACCCUUUCUUGUUUCUCCCGCCUAUAUACCGCCGUCGUCAGCUCACCCUGUGAAGGCCUCAUAGUGAGCAUAAUUGGUUUAACCUAAAACGUCAGGUCGAGGUGUAGCGCAUGAAAGGGGAAGAAAUGGGCUACAUUCACUGACCCAGUGAAAACGAAUAAUGCCUUGAAACAGACAUUUAAAGGAGGAUUUAGCAGUAAGGAGAGAAUAGAGUGCCCCCCUGAAACUGGCCCUGAAGCGCGCACACACCGCCCGUCACUCUCCCCAAACAAAAUAAACUAAUAAAUAAACAGUCUCAGCAAGAAAGGGGAGGCAAGUCGUAACAUGGUAAGUGUACCGGAAGGUGCACUUGGAAAAAU